GCCUCGGUGCGCAGUAGGCAGCGCGUCAGUCUCAUAAUCUGAAGGUCGUGAGUUCGAUCCUCACCCGAGGCA
rnacentral:tRNA from 1 species